UUCUAAAACUUUUAAAGUUGGAAGAUUUUCUUGUUUCUUUUAACUUUUUUCAAUAUUCUUAUUUAACUAAAUUCUUAUUUGAGCAGUACAUCUUAUUGGGUUAUAUUUUAUCUUUUUGUUCUUGCACUUUAUAUACUUGUAAUUUAGCAAGCGUGCACGUGUGUUGUUGUUCAUUGUGGUUUAUAUCGGUUCAGCAGUAUCCUCAAGCAAACUUAUUGCUCUCCUUAAGCAAACUUAUUGCUCAAGACCCUGCUGGAUCUACCCUAGCUCUGUUCAACCCCGAUCAGCGAAACAAUUUUGAAACCGCUGUGCUGUUAUCAAUCUGUGAACUGAACGGAACCCUUUCUAAGAAGAUUGUAUUUAUCAAUAAAGAUUUACGUUACUUAA